rnacentral:misc_RNA from 1 species
GAUGAAGAACGCAGCAAAAUGCGAUAAGUAAUGUGAAUUGCAGAAUUCAGUGAAUCAUCGAAUCUUUGAACGCGCAUUGCGGCCGCUGGUAUUCCGGCGGGCAUGCCUGUUCGAGCGUCAUUUCAACCCUCAAGCCCCCGGGUUUGGUGUUGGGGAUCGGCUCUGCCCUUCUGGGCGGUGCCGCCCCCGAAAUACAUUGGCGGUCUCGCUGCAGCCUCCAUUGCGUAGUAGCUAACACCUCGGAACUGGAACGCGGCGCGGCCAUGCCGUAAAACCCCAACUUCUGAAUGUUGACCUCGGAUCAGGUAGGAAUACCCGCUGAACUUAAGCAUAUCAAUAAGCGGAGGA